CGCUGGUCUCUCUUGUCCUGAAUGCAAAACAGGCGAUGGUUUCAUUCAGUAGAGAGAGAGUGACUCAUUCAGCAGCAUGCCUCGCAAGUACAGAGACGAAUCCAGUGAUGAAGACGACGAUAAUGAUGGUCAUCGUUACAGUCAUAACAAGAAAAUUCCAGAUCCAACAGUCGUCGAGAUCGGAAGGAAUCGAAUGGAAGCUCUGAUGAUGAGGAUGAGGAUGAUGAUGAUGAUGAUGGCAGGGUCAAUUUAAAGAGACAAAUUGGUAUGCAAGAUACAGUGAUAAAUAAUAAUAAUAAUAAUAAUAAUAAUAAUAAUAAUAAUGGGUAUGCAAACAAGAGUUCUAUUGAGGAGGAGGAUGUGAACCUAGAGAGAGAAAAGGGCAGCCGAGAUAGAGAUAGAAAAGAUAGGUAUGAGCACGGUUCGGAUGAUGAUGAUGAUGAUGAUGAUGACGGGAGAGAAAGAGGUAGGCGAGAUAGAGAGAGAGAGGAUGAAAAGGGUUCUGAUGAGGAUGGCAAGGUAGUGAAAGCAAGAGGCAAGCCACAUAGAGAGAGAAACAAUAGGCAUGAAAUCGAUUCCAGUGGAGAUGAUGGGAGGAGGGUAGAGAGGGAAACAGGAAAGAGAGAUAGAAACAGACUGAUGAUAGGUAUGAAAAUGGGCAUAGGUGGCAAGACGGGCAUUCAGAGAGAGACAAUGAAAGGGAGAGGAGGCAGAGGAUUGAAUUUCAAGAUGGUGAUGGUGGUGAUGAAAAGGGGCAUUAGAAAGAGAGAAGCUGAGGAGGUUCACACAAGUAAGGAUGGUUGGCGUUCACGUCGAGAUAUGCAGGAUGCGGAUGAUAGUAGGGAUGGGCGGAACAAGCGGUCUGCACGUCAAAGGGAUGGGGAAGUGGGUGAUGAUUAUGAGAAAGAUGGGAGGAGAAGUGGUACAAGGGUUGAUGGGAUAGAAAUCACAGAAGAGAGAAGGAAGGGAAUGAGGGUCGCCAAGAUAGCGGGCGUUUGAAUAAGGAUAAGGAUAAGGAGGGAGAUGGGAAGGUGAAUGAAGAUUUAAAAUUGCAAAAACAGUCAACAUUGCAAGGAGGAAACUUGAAUGGAGACUCGGCCAAUUUAGGGAGAAGUGGAGGGGUGUACAUACCGCCUUUCAAGCUGGCCCUGAUGAUGAAAGAGGUUUAGGACAAGAGCAGUGUUGAGUAUCAGCGAUUGACAUGGGAUGCUCUCAGGAAGAGUAUAAAUGGACUGGUCAAUAAGGUGAAUUCAACCUAUAAUUCCUGAACUUUUUGCAGAGAAUUUGAUCCGGGGAAGGGGUCUCUUUUGUCGGUUAUGUAUGAAGUCUCAAAUGGCUUCUCCAGGUUUCACAGAUGUUUUCACCGCAUUGGUUGCUGUGGUAAAUACUAAGUUCCCAGAAGUUGGUGAUCUUUUGUGGAGGAGGAUAAUCUUACAGCUCAAGCGAGCUUACAAACGUAAUUACAAGCCCCAAUUGUUAGCUGCUGUUAAAUUCAUAGCACAUCUAGUGGACCAGCAAGUGUUUCAUGAGCUUGUUGCCUUGGAGCUGCUCACGCUUCUGUUAGACAAACCUACGGAUGACAGUGUUGAGGUAGCAGUUGGUUUCGUGACUGGAUGUGGGUCAAUACGUCAAGACCUUUGCCCCCGAGGGUUGCACGGUGAGUUUUCCCGCACGAUUUUCAAGUUCAAAGUAAUAUGGACACUUAUCAAGCUCUUUGAUCUGGCUUAUGCCGAUGGGACUUUGUAUCAUGCUGUUGGAGUGCUGCUGUCAAGAGAGAACUUACCUCCAUUAUUAUGGCCUUUUGGGGCUGCGAUUCUGCAUGAGUAACAAGUUCCACCAGGAAAAUUUUGAGAUAUGCUUUGUGCAGCAGUACUCUAUGAUUCACCGGCUUGAGACAAAUAAGCUGCGUAAUGUGGCAAAGUUUUUUGCUCAUUUACUUGGGACAUUUGCUCUUCCUUGGCAUGUUUUAGCUUACAUACGUCUUACUGAGGAGGACACUGCAUCAUCUUCCCAUAUUUUCGUUAAGAUUCUUUUUUGGGAAUUGUCAGAACACCUUGGCAUUCACUUGCUGACUGAGCGUCUUACUGAUCCCACAAUGCAGGACUCAUUUGAAUCCAUUUUCCCAAAAGAUGAUCCCAAGAACACAAGGUUUUCCAUUAAUUUCUUCAUGUCUAUUGGGCUUGGUGGUAUUACUGAGAACUUGCAAGAGUACUUGAAGAAUAUGUGACGUCUUAUUAUGCAACAACAUAAACCAGUUUCUGAAUCAGAUAAGGAAUCCAGGAGUUCUGAUUCUGAUGAUUCAGGUUCCGAGCCAGAUUCUGGGUCAUUGAGGUCUGACGAUGAAAGUAAAAGUGAAAGUGACAGCAAUGACAGACGAAGGAGAGGGUGAAGAACAUCUCCAAUACCAGGGGUCAAAAUUAAAGCUGCUUUUUAGAACUUUAGAUGCAGGUACUUGUGUGUUGUUUGUUUCACAAUUUUGUAGAAUAUUGUCAAUCUGAACGAGUGAAACUCUACUAGAUAUGGUUUCACUGUGGAAACUUUCAUUACAAUAGUCUAUAGUAUCUCUUGUAGUUUUGAUUCCAUACAGUUGAGGGUUCAGUUUGGUUAGAAUCUGCAGCAGCUGUGUCUUGAGAUUUAUUUUAGAAUUCAAGUUUUACAA